UACGUAGGGCGCAAGCGUUGUCCGGAAUUAUUGGGCGUAAAGAGCUCGUAGGCGGUUUGUCGCGUCUGCUGUGAAAACCUAAGGCUCAACCUUGGGCUUGCAGUGGGUACGGGCAGACUAGAGUGCGGUAGGGGUGACUGGAAUUCCUGGUGUAGCGGUGGAAUGCGCAGAUAUCAGGAGGAACACCGAUGGCGAAGGCAGGUCACUGGGCCACAACUGACGCUGAGGAACGAAAGCCAGGGUAGCGAAAGGG
rnacentral:rRNA from 1 species